UACGUAGGCAGCGAGCGUUGUUCGGAGUUACUGGGCGUAAAGGGUGUGUAGGCGGUUGUUUAAGUUUGGUGUGAAAUCUCCCGGCUCAACUGGGAGGGUGCGCCGAAUACUGAGUGACUUGGAGUGCGGGAGAGGAGAGUGGAAUUCCUGGUGUAGCGGUGAAAUGCGUAGAUAUCGGAAAGAACACCAACGGCGAAAGCACUCUGCUGGGCCGACACUGACACUGAGAGACGAAAGCUAGGGGAGCGAAUGGG
rnacentral:rRNA from 1 species